UUUUGGACAAUGGGCGCAAGCCUGAUCCAGCCAUUCCGCGCGAGUGAAGAAGGCCUUCGGGUUGUAAAGCUCUUUCGCAAGGGAAGAAAACUUACUUUCUAAUAAAGAGUGAGGUUGACGGUACCUUGAUAAGAAGCACCGGCUAACUACGUGCCAGCAGCCGCGGUAAUACGUAGGGUGCGAGCGUUAAUCGGAAUUACUGGGCGUAAAGCGUGCGCAGGCGGCUUUGUAAGUCAGAUGUGAAAUCCCCGAGCUCAACUUGGGAACUGCGUUUGAAACUACAAGGCUAGAAUAUGUCAGAGGGGGGUAGAAUUCCACGUGUAGCAGUGAAAUGCGUAGAGAUGUGGAGGAAUACCAAUGGCGAAGGCAGCCCCCUGGGGUAAUAUUGACGCUCAUGCACGAGG
rnacentral:rRNA from 1 species